GCCUUCGUGGUAUAAUUGGAAGCAUGCUCAAUGCGUAUUCGAGAGGUCCAGGGUUCGAGUCCCAGCGAAGGUA
rnacentral:tRNA from 1 species